GAUGAACGCUGGCGGCGUGCCUAAUACAUGCAAGUCGAGCGAACGGACGAGAAGCUAGCUUCUCUGAUGUUAGCGGCGGACGGGUGAGUAACACGUGGAUAACCUACCUAUAAGACUGGGAUAACUUCGGGAAACCGGAGCUAAUACCGGAUAAUAUUUUGAACCGCAUGGUUCAAAAGUAAAAGACGGUCUUGCUGUCACUUAUAGAUGGAUCCGCGCUGCAUUAGCUAGUUGGUAAGGUAACGGCUUACCAAGGCAACGAUGCAUAGCCGACCUGAGAGGGUGAUCGGCCACACUGGAACUGAGACACGGUCCAGACUCCUACGGGAGGCAGCAGUAGGGAAUCUUCCGCAAUGGGCGAAAGCCUGACGGAGCAACGCCGCGUGAGUGAUGAAGGUCUUCGGAUCGUAAAACUCUGUUAUUAGGGAAGAACAUAUGUGUAAGUAACUGUGCACAUCUUGACGGUACCUAAUCAGAAAGCCACGGCUAACUACGUG
rnacentral:rRNA from 1 species